UGAAGAUAUGUAGAUUGAGGCAUUCUGUUAACUUUUCUAGUUAAGGCAUAGGAUGUUAAGUUGAAUCAUAAAAACCCAUAGAAAACCACUGUAACUACUGAGACUUGGGUUAGGUGUGGAGGAAUCGGAGAUCUGGAAAGACUUGUGCAUGGUGGAAAAUUUGCUUUGGCCAAAUCUCAUUGUCUGAAAAUACAUUUAUUUUUUUGGACAGCAGAAUUUCAUGCAUUUGGUAGUUCGGCUCAUCUAAAUUUCAGCUGCUGGAAAAAAAUCUGAGAAAACAGUUCAG